CCUACGGGGGGCAGCAGUGGGGAAUAUUGCGCAAUGGGCGAAAGCCUGACGCAGCGACGCCGCGUGAGGGAUGAAGGUCUUCGGAUCGUAAACCUCUGUCAGCAGGGAAGAACGGUCACUGGGCUAAGCAGCAGUGAAUUGACGGUACCUGCAAAGGAAGCACAGGCUAACUCCGUGCCAGCAGCCGCGGUAAUACGGAGGGUGCGAGCGUUAAUCGGAAUUCCUGGGCGUAAAGCGCUCGUAGGCGGUAUGUCAAGUCAAGGGUGAAAUCCCCGCGCUCACCGUGGGAACUGCCUUUGAAACUGGCAAACUGGCGUGUGUGCGCGGCUAGUGGAAUUCCAGGUGUAGGCG
rnacentral:rRNA from 1 species